rnacentral:rRNA from 1 species
UACGGAGGGUGCAAGCAUUGAUCGGAAUUACUGGGCGUAAAGGGUGCGUAGGCGGCAGGAUAAGUCAGAUGUGAAAUUCCACAGCUCAACUGUGGAGCUGCAUUUGAAACUGUCCAGCUAGAGCGUAGUUAGGGAAAACGGAAUUCCACAUGUAGCGGUGAAAUGCGUAGAUAUGUGGAGGAACACCGGUGGUGAAGACGGUUUUCUGGGCUAUGGCUGACGCUGAGGCACGAAAGCUAGGGGAGCAAACAGG